AUUCUUUGGUUGGAUGAAUCCCCUUAUGCAGCGUGCAUAUCAAAGACCAAUAAUAGAGAAGGAAGUGUGGAAGUUAGAUACUUGGGAUAGAACAGAAACAUUGAAUGCUAAGUUCCAAGAAUGUUGGGUUAAAGAAUCUCAGAAGCCAAAGCCAUGGCUGUUAAAAGCAUUAAACAGUAGCCUUGGAGGAAGGUUUUGGUGGGGAGGCUUUUGGAAGAUGUGACAAGCGAAAUUGAAAAUGAUACUUAAUUUUGAAGGCUUUGUGUUGGC